rnacentral:lncRNA from 1 species
GAAAAAUAAUAGGGUUCAUAUUUGCUCCCUACAAGAACAAUUAAACAGAACAGGAAGACUCCUGUUGACUCCAGUUUCUGCUAGAUCAAGACUCUGUAAUUAUGAAAUUGUCUAUCUGCCAUAAUGAAUACUCCAUGCAAUAUUUUAAGUUUUGAGGAAUAAUCAUUUUUCAUCAUUAAAAUUAAGCAGCCGCCUAUUAAAAGAAACUUAUUUUCUCCUUGCUAAGAUUUGAAACAGCUGUGACACUGAACAGAAUUGUUGAAUACAGGUUAAAGUAGAUGAGUAAGAGAACGCAUUUUCUGUCUUAUCUCACUUUGAGGUAGAUGUACAGAUAACUAAUAAUGCUUCAGUUCUCAUAGUGCUGAUUGGUGCCUGCGUGUGCUAGCCAUCCACAGGAAACUUACCAAAAAGCAGCAGAAUGCAGAGACCACUUGCACUUCAUCAACUUGCAACCAUCACUGACCUCCAGCUAGCUUUGUGAAGUAUCCAGCAAUGGUGUAGAAUUUCCCUUACAUGGGUGUAACCAUCUCAGCAUUUUGCUAGCUCAGAGCCCAAGAACCUUAAAGGAAAGCAGCUGCUUAUUUGAAGAUUUGCAUUUCCAUGAGUGAGGAAUUAUGAGCAUGGAAACUAACAGGAAAACAAUGAUACAGCGCCCAACAGAUUCAAAUGGGAGGAAGAAAACUUUGCCAAAAAAUAGGUAAGUAGAUUGCUGUUUAAGGCACCGAUAAGUAACUUCAAUAGAAGUUUUAUUAUUAAUGUGUCCAUGCUCUAAGCAGCAAACAGCAAAAACCAAAUGAAUCUAUUGUGGCUUACAGACUGCUCCCUGAACAGGAAACCACUCAGCUUCAUUGUGUUCAAAAGCUGCUGCUAAAAUAAAUUAUGUUGUAAUUCGAAGAGUGGGGCA